GUGCUCACUUUGACAAUACAUAUACGAAAACUGAAAUGAUACAGAGAUUAGCAUGGUCUCUGGGCAAGGGUGACACUCAAAUUCAUGGAGUGCUCCAUAUUUUU